UCCUACGGGAGGUAGCAGUGGGGAAUAUUGCACAAUGGGCGCAAGCCUGAUGCAGCAACGCCGCGUGAGGGACGAAGGCCUUCGGGUUGUAAACCUCUUUUAGUAGGGAAGAAGCGACUGGGUUUUCCUAGGAGUGACGGUACCUGCAGAAAAAGCACCGGCUAACUACGUGCCAGCAGCCGCGGUAAUACGUAGGGUGCAAGCGUUGUCCGGAAUUAUUGGGCGUAAAGAGCUCGUAGGCGGUUUGUCGCGUCUGCUGUGAAAACCCGAGGCUCAACCUCGGGCCUGCAGUGGGUACGGGCAGACUAGAGUGCGGUAGGGGAGAUUGGAAUUCCUGGUGUAGCGGUGGAAUGCGCAGAUAUCAGGAGGAACGCCAAUGGCGAAGGCAGAUCUCUGGCCGUAACUGACGCUGAGGAGCGAAAGCAUGGGGAGCGAACAGGAUUAGAUACCCUGGUAGUCCAUGCCGUAAACGUUGGGAACUAGAUGUGGGGACCAUUCCACGGUCUCCGUGUCGCAGCUAACGCAUUAAGUUCCCCGCCUGGGGAGUACGGCCGCAAGGCUAAAACUCAAAGGAAUUGACGGGGGCCCGCACAAGCGGCGGAGCAUGCGGAUUAAUUCGAUGCAACGCGAAGGACCUUACCAAGGCUUGACAUAUACCGGAAACGGCUGGAAACAGUCGCCCCGCAAGGUCGGUAUACAGGUGGUGCAUGGUUGUCGUCAGCUCGUGUCGUGAGAUGUUGGGUUAAGUCCCGCAACGAGCGCAACCCUCGACCUAUGUUGCCAGCACGUAAUGGUGGGAACUCAUGGGAUACUGCCGGGGUCAACUCGGAGGAAGGUGGGGAUGACGUCAAAUCAUCAUGCCCCUUAUGUCUUGGGCUUCACGCAUGCUACAAUGGCCGGUACAAAGGGCUGCGAUACCGCAAGGUGGAGCGAAUCCCAAAAAGCCGGUCUCAGUUCGGAUUGAGGUCUGC
rnacentral:rRNA from 1 species